rnacentral:tRNA from 1 species
GGGGUGUUGGCGCAAUGGUAGCGCGUUGCUUUCCGGUGGCAAAGGCUCCAGGUUCGAGUCCUGGGCAUCUCG